CACGUAGGGUGCAAGCGUUGUCCGGAAUUAUUGGGCGUAAAGAGCUCGUAGGCGGUCUGUCGCGUCUGCUGUGAAAACUCAGGGCUUAACCCUGAGCUUGCAGUGGGUACGGGCAGACUAGAGUGCGGUAGGGGAGACUGGAAUUCCUGGUGUAGCGGUGAAAUGCGCAGAUAUCAGGAGGAACACCGGUGGCGAAGGCGGGUCUCUGGGCCGUAACUGACGCUGGAGGAGCGAAAGCAUGGGGAGCGAACAGG
rnacentral:rRNA from 1 species